GUUGUAAGGAGCAGAGGAACCUGAACACCUUUUUCGCCAUCAUGUUUGGACUCAGUAACAGUGCAGUAACUCGCCUGGCCCAGACCUGGGACAGGAUCCCCAACAAGACCAGACGAAUGUACCACGGCUUCGAGAGGUUGAUGGACCCAGCAAGGAAUCACAGGGUUUACCGACAGGCUAUCACCAAACUGAAUGCUCCAUUUCUAACAUUC